CGCCCCCAAAGCUGGAGAGGAUACACAGGGCCAGGGAGCAAGGCUGGAGAGACGUGCUGCGUGCCGGCGGAGGCAGGGAGGUGAAGACCCCGUUUCUUGGCAGUGGAGGGGCUGUGGCUUCAUCAUCCUUUGAAUCACGAGGACAGUCUGAACAUUUCCAUGCCAUUUUUGAUCAAACGCAGCCGCAAAGUGCAGAAGAUCGUGAAGCUAGAUGGAAAGGAGAAACACAUGGCCGCGGACUACCAGAAAGAGGGAUUCUGCUUGGAGUUCGUCCAGGAUUUCCUAGCGAGGCUGCAGGUCAUCACCAUUUUCCUGAUGCUGACGAUAUUAGAAAAACUUUGAAAAGUUUGAAGGCUGUGUCUAAACAAGCCAGU